rnacentral:lncRNA from 1 species
GCUCUUCAACUUCGUACUUUAUUGGCUUUUUAAUAUUUUGUUUAUUCGAACUUCACUCUUGGAACUUUUUGUAGACGAAACGCGCGUCCUCGUAUCUGUGAUGAGUUUAUUCACUUUGAGGACAUACCGAUAUCCACAAUAAUUUGAUAUGCUAGUAGCAGCGGUUGAUAUUGUAAAUUGAAAAUAGCAAAAACUACGGACGCCAAUUUAGGACCUGCUAAAAAUA